UACAUGGGGUGCAAGCGUUGCUCGGAAUUAUUGGGCGUAAAGCGCACGUAGGCGGUUCGUUAAGUCAGAUGUGAAAGCCCCCGGCUCAACCGGGGAAGUGCAUCUGAAACUGGCGAGCUAGAGUACGAAAGAGGGUCGCGGAAUUCCCGGUGUAGAGGUGAAAUUCGUAGAUAUCGGGAGGAACACCGGUGGCGAAGGCGGCGACCUGGGUCGAUACUGACGCUGAGACGCGAAAGCGUGGGGAGCGAACAGG
rnacentral:rRNA from 1 species